GACGAACGCUGGCGGCGUGCCUAAUACAUGCAAGUAGGACGCAGUUGCGAACGGGUGAGUAACGCGUGGGUAACUACCUAAUAGAGGGGGAUAACUAUUGGAAACGAUAGCGAAUACCGCGUACGAGUAGAUGGACGUGCGUUGUAAUAGCUAGUAGGUAGGGUAAUGGCCACCCUAGGCAACGAUACAUAGCCGACCCUGAUGGGGGAUCGGCUAAACCUGGAAUGAGAACAGGCCCAGACUCCCACGGGAGGCAGCAGUAGGGGAUCUUCGGAAAUGGGGGGAACCCUGACCGCGCAACGCCGCGUGAGUGAAGAAGGUUUUUCGAUCGUAAAGCUCUGUUGUUAAGGAAGCGUUACUUAACCAGAAAGGGACGGCUAACUACGUGCCAGCCGCCGCGGUAAUUC
rnacentral:rRNA from 1 species